AUAGCUUCAAUAGUUCACUGAAAGCUUUUGGUGUAAUUGUAAUGAACCGCAAGCCCUUCAGAAAGAAAGACAUAAUAAAAAAGAAAGGCUUGGUUGCGGGAACUGACGGUGACGAAGGUUACCGGGCCGAUACGGCCGGUUACCGGGAACCGCAAGGUUGCAAGGUUCCCGGGAAACAACGGUUCCCUUUGUAAAGUAGGCUUUUUGAUAACUAAUUAGAGUUGACAUGAAAUGGAUCACGGAAGAAGACGUUUCCGAUGAAUGAAUGAUUCAAUCCCCUCCCACUCACACGGGUUCUUCUAUUGAAGGGCUUCCCCCUCUUCUAUGUGAGGUGGGGCGUACGUAAGAGCGGAACCUAGAUCGAACGCGGAGCGCCGGCUCCCGGCUGCCGAUACUGUUACCAUGCUUACCAGCUCUUACCAUUGCCGCCUAUAGAUAUAGAUGGGAGGUAGGCGAAGGUAGCUUGCUUCUCUUCUCCUAGGCUACCUGCACAUCUUAUUCGCGAAGAAAAGGCAGCGAGCGGUUCUUCGCUUAGUAGAGCUACCGGCCGCCGGACGACGACCGCUUCUUGUUCUCGCCCAGCCGUUUCUUUUGAUUUUAUUAUUAUUUAGAAUCCUAGACUAAAGAAGAAGCUCCUGAAUCAGCGCAGGGCCAAAUCAGCAGCAGGAGAACUGUACUAACCUGCCGCCGGUGACUUUCUCAGGGCUCCGCAGGAGAAGAAAGAAGGUCCGAGUCAAAUUUCUAAUGAAGCGAAGGUCCCCUUACUCCCUAUUCUCUCUUAAAGCUUUAUAAAGCUCCGCGAGAAAGGGUUGGUUAAGAACUAUUGACUGUAAACCAUAGCAGUUACACUCACUCAAUGGAAAUGUUCGCCUUUGGAAUGAAGAUGGAUGAGCAGGCACUUGAGCCUGGAACUGAUGAAAUUCGGGGGAAACAUGGAACCGGUCAGUAUACUGGGGGGGCGAGACAUGACCGCGACUUAAGAUUCAAGUACCGUCGAAAAGACUAAAGGAACGGGGGGAAUGACUACCUGUAAUAAAGCACAGGCUAAUACGAGCCGACCAGAAGAAGCAAGGCUUAGAUUACCAGAUCCUGGACACAAUCUUCCUAGAGAUGGAGAGCCCCUUGCCUCGCCUUUUCUAG
rnacentral:misc_RNA from 1 species